UACGGAGGGUGCAAGCGUUUAUCCGGAUUCACUGGGUUUAAAGGGUGCGUAGGCGGGCAGGUAAGUCCGUGGUGAAAUCUCUGAGCUUAAACUCAGAAACUGCCAUGGAUACUAUUUGUCUUGAAUAUUGUGGAGGUAAGCGGAAUAUGUCAUGUAGCGGUGAAAUGCUUAGAUAUGACAUAGAAACACCAAUUGCGAAGGGCAGCUUACUACACAGUUUAUUGACGCUGAGGCACGAAAGCGUGGGGGAUCAAAACAGGG
rnacentral:rRNA from 1 species